UACGAAGGGGGCUAGCGUUGCUCGGAAUGACUGGGCGUAAAGGGCGCGUAGGCGGAUGGCACAGUCGGGCGUGAAAUUCCUGGGCUUAACCUGGGGGCUGCGUUCGAGACGUGCGGUCUUGAGUGGGGAAGAGGGUCGUGGAAUUCCCAGUGUAGAGGUGAAAUUCGUAGAUAUUGGGAAGAACACCGGUGGCGAAGGCGGCGACCUGGUCCUUGACUGACGCUGAGGCGCGAAAGCGUGGGGAGCAAACAGG
rnacentral:rRNA from 1 species